rnacentral:misc_RNA from 1 species
AAAAAGGGUGAUUGCUGCUAGUAGAGGAAGGAGUUACCAAAAUACAUGUAACUAAUUUUUCAUUUUCAUUUAAUUAAAAGGUUGAAGAGAUCUAUUUGAUUUUAUAAUAACAGACUUCAAAAUUCUUCUUUUUCAAACUUUCCUUAGAGCAACAAGCUGGUAGAAGUCACAUCAAAUAUUUGGGGGACAAAGUUCAAGCUGACGGGUUUGGCCCCUUUCUUGCCUGAGGACCUGGGUAAUGUUCUGUACAAGACCAGUCUGCUGCACCUCCAGCCCCGACAGAUGACCAUUACCAUCACCGCCCUCAACGCGGUCAAUCAGCCACUGUCCAGGGACCCCAACUUCACACCUGCAGGCCAUUUUGAUGAAGAUGGAGAGGUUAGAUCCAACGAAGAUUUGCCUGUUGACUUGGAAGACAUGGGCCAAGAGGACGGAAUAUUAGUGUCAGAAACGUAUAGUGGUGAUAAUGUUAAUCGAGGCACAAGCCAUGUCUUCAUGGACAUUAAAAAGUCUUCAAAUUCAUCCAAUCAAAAUGAGGAGAAGGUUCUUUGUGACAUAAGUAGUAAUUUGAGUAGUAAUAAUAAUGUGUUCAAUGGUGAACGACUGCACUGGUCACCCAGCAUGAAAAACAGAUCUCUUUCACCUGCCUCCGAAUCCGUUGCUCAAAAUAACGCCUUUAACAGUGUAGACAAUUCUGUUCUGAAGGAUAAGUUCAUUGGUCAAGGUGCAAUCCCCAAGGUCAGCUCAACAGAGGUGACUGUGGGGACACCUAACGGAGAGACGCUGGUUCAUGCAAACAAUAAUUCAUCAUCGGUGUCAAGUGCCAACAUGAGGACUAGUUUACACAAUGAAGUGUCCAGUAUAAUGAAAGAUGGUGACGAGAAUCGCUGGGCGGAUCUCGCCAAUCCUGGAAUCAAGUUCAUAGAUGACGAAGGACUGAACAAUCGUAACUCGGAAAAUUCGGACAAUAUGGCAGGAAUAAUCUGUGAUUCUAGUCAAUUGACUCCCACUUUGUCUGAUAACCAGAAAAGGUUGUAUUUGGAAACGUUGUCCAACGUUGAUUCUGAUGCAAUGAUCUGUGAUCAUAGUCGAGACCCCUCGGAAAACGGGGACGAUGUUGAUACAAUGUUAGGGUCUCUGGAUGAUGUGCAUAAAGACACAUGUAGAAGUAGCAGUGUAUUCUCAGGUGCUUCUUGUUCUGUAUUCCAUUACGACGAUGAAGUGGUGGAUCCAGCUUCUUUCACUCGUAACACUUCCACAAUGGAAAUCAGUCACAGCGCAUCUUUGCCAAAUUCUCCUUUGCAUAGGGCUGCAGAUUCGCCCAUGAGAGAUAUUAGAGAAGAAAUUUUACAGGGUACUUGCAAGCAUUAUAGUCCGAUAUUCAAGAGGAAGUCUAGACAUUUUAACCCAAGAAAUUACCAUAACGGGGAUGAAGAACGGACGAUUGAAGAUGGAAAGUAUUCCCAGAGUUUUAAAAACUUGGAGACUUUCCAGAAAUCACAACUAAAACAGAAGCUCCAGAAAGUGCGUAAGAGGAGCGAAGACAGGGGAAGGUCGAGAUACCCACAUCUUGGACAUCGCCAGUUCGUUAUGCACAACAAAGCUCCUCUCUGGAAUGAGAACAGCCAGGUGUAUCAGCUAGACUUUGGAGGGAGGGUCAGCCAGGAGUCUGCGAAAAACUUCCAAAUAGAGUUCCGAAGUCGUCAGGUGAUGCAGUUUGGUAGAAUCGGAAGCAAUGCCUACACAUUGGACUUCCAGUACCCAUUUACUACCCUGCAGGCUUUCGCUGUAGCUCUAGCAAAUGUGACUCAGCGCCUGAAAUAGCCUACAAUGCACUAAAGUCUGGCUGGACUACCAGGUAGACGAACAGAGGACUUUAGUGCAAAAGUUAUUUUCGCAUGCACUAAAAAGAGACCAGAUUUCAAAAGAAACAAUUGGGCAUAACAAGUGCAAGCGUAUCCUAAUAAGUGGGACUUAUCAAAACUGAUGAAUCAUUGUCAAAUAUUUUGUCUUGUCAGAGAAGGUUAUAAACUUUGACAAACUGUUUAGUUUUAAAAUCUUUUUUCUCAGCAGGCUGACGCUGUAAUCUUUAUCGCUAGCAAAUAUUUUCUUUCAAUACAGAAAUCAAUAGUUUUUGCGAAUGAAAUACAAGAGCCAAUGAUAAGACUUCAUUAACCCCGUGUAUUUUAAUGCUUUUCUUGUCUCUAUCUUCUCUAAUGAAAUGACUUUAACGAAGAGAAUUUUAAGUUGUGCGUUGUUAUUGUGAAAAAAAAAUAUACAUGGGAUAUUAGUAAUGAAAAAAAGCAUAUGUCUAAAUGCACGGGAUUUGAUUAAGAAGAUAAUAGAUAUUUCUACUUAUAUUGUGUAAUGAAUUAGAAUUUAAAAAUGCUGAAUCAAUAUUAUUGCUUUUGUAAAAGAUGAUGGAUUUAUGAGUUAAAUAAAAACUGAAUACAUAUUAAUUGAUGAUGGUUCAAUUAUAGUUAUUUUAUGUUUUGUUAUUCACAAAUAAAGCGAACAUAGU